GAUGAACGCUGGCGGCGUGCCUAAUACAUGCAAGUCGAGCGAACGGACGAGAAGCUUGCUUCUCUGAUGUUAGCGGCGGACGGGUGAGUAACACGUGUAUAACCUACCUAUAAGACUGGGAUAACUUCGGGAAACCGGCGCUAAUACCGGAUAAUAUUUUGAACCGCAUGGUUCAAAAGUGAAAGACGGUCUUGCUGUCACUUAUAGAUGGAUCCGCGCUGCAUUAGCUAGUUGGUAAGGUAACGGCUUACCAAGGCAACGAGGCAUAGACGACCUGAUAGGGUGGUCGGCGACACUGGAACUGAGACACGGACCAGACUCCUACGAGAGGCAGCGGUAGGGAAUCUUCCGCAAUGGGCGAAAGCCUGACGGAGCAACGCCGCGUGAGUGGUGAAGGUCUUCGGAUCGUAAAACUCUGUUAUUAGGGAAGAACAUAUGUGUAAGUAAAUGUGCACAUCUUGACGGUACCGAAUCAGAAAGCCACGGCUAACUACGUG
rnacentral:rRNA from 1 species